rnacentral:piRNA from 1 species
UCUUAUAGAUUAGGCAAUAAC